UCCCCGGCGAUGGCGGCGACUACGGUGGCGAGCGCGUUGCAGACGAACCUCCUCCGAUCUGCGGCACGACCAGCAGGCGGGACCAAGGUUGGAAGGCUCCACCGGCGCGGGAGCGCGAGGGUGCCGUCGUCGGGGGGAUCAGGCGGUGGAGCUCCGCCCAUCCUGCAGGUCGUCGACGAUUUGUGCUAGCGAGGUAUCAAAGAAGACACGUGAUUUGAAGUUGAUAUUUGGCACGAUGGCAUCGACGCGUGAGGUGUAAUCAUGGAUGUACAGAAUUGCUACUGAUGAAGGUAUAUUCUAAAGAAAGAAGAUGAAGUUUAAUAGAAGAAUGGGUCAAUAUCCUGAUGCUCAAGCAGAUUCAGGUCAGGGUCGCUAUUGUUAGGAAGCAAAGGGAUCAACCUGCAUUAGGUUUGUCUAGAAUAUGUAGAUGUGAUAUUCUUCUCAAAAGGUGGAAAUAUAUUAUUAUUUUUAAUUGUCUCAUUUCUAAAUUAUGCAGUUAAUCAGUUGUUCACAUGUAUGCAUAAAGCCAAGUUAUAUGGCAGUAUGUUGUUAUGAUCAUCGGAUCCAUACAUAAGAUGUAGGGAAUAUGUUAGUAUCAAUCUGAAUGAUCGUGCCCCUAUAAAAAUAGUAAACAAUACAGAGAAAAAAUAGUUUACAACAUUUAGGGGGUUGGUACGUCUUUUAUUAUUUAUAUACAUAUAUUCGAAAAGUAGCAAAAGCCCACUUUGCCUCUUAUUUAUCAGGUUCGUUCUCUCUCAAAUGUGCUUUCUUGUAGGCUCAAAUACUGAACUAAACGUGAAAGCAAAUUUCUCUUGUUUGCUUUAGUUCCCUGGUCAUUUUUUAUUUGGUUUGUGCAGAUCUGUUUCUACAUGGGUUCAUGCUCUCCUAUAGCCUGAACUAAAAGUCGAAGGAGACUCUUUUUGCUUGAUUUAGCAAGGAGGAUACAUGUAAUUUAGAAACCAAAGAAAUAUAAAAUCCAAGAGCAAGGAGGAUAUGGAUUUUAUUUUUGUAAUUCUCCGUGUAAUCCUAACACAUGAUGUGAGAAUUUCCCACAUUAUUAGUCAUUUCUGCUUCGUUUAUUUGUUCAUGGUAAUAGCACUUCCAGUGAUUUAAGUUUGGUUAAUCUGAGAUACUCUUUUUCUUGAUUAUAUAAUGCCGUCAAACAGACUGGAGCAACGACUGAUGGUGUAACCUGAAUGCAGUGGAGGUUAUGGAGAGAUGCAUGUCUGGGA